GAAUCGCGAUAUGUAAUGUGAAUUGCAGAUUUCCAGUAAAUCAUCGAAUCUUUGAACGCACCUUGCGCUCUCCGGUACUCCGGAGAGCAUGCCUGUUUGAGUGUCAU
rnacentral:rRNA from 1 species